rnacentral:rRNA from 1 species
GAAUUUUGGACAAUGGGCGAAAGCCUGAUCCAGCAAUGCCGCGUGCAGGAUGAAGGCCUUCGGGUUGUAAACUGCUUUUGUACGGAACGAAAAGCUUUGGGUUAAUUCCCUGGAGGCAUGACGGUACCGUAAGUAUAAGCACCGGCUAACUACGUGCCAGCGGCCGCGGUAAUACGUAGGGUGCAAGCGUUAAUAGGAAUUACUGGGCGUAAAGCGUGCGCAGGCGGUUUUGGAAGACAGAGGUUAAAUCCCCGGGCUCAACCUGGGAACUGCCUUUGUGACAGAAAGCGGAGAGGAAGGAAGAGGGGGGGGGAAGGAGGAGGGGAGAAGUGACAUGCGUAGAUAGGCGGAGCAGGAGCGAUGGCGAAGGCAACCCCCUGGGCCUGUACUGACGCUCAUGCACGAAAGCGUGGGGAGCAAACA